AGUCGUAACAAGGUUUCCGUAGGUGAACCUGCGGAAGGAUCAUUACUGAUUUGCUUAAUUGCACCACAUGUGUUUUUUAUUGAACAAAUUUCUUUGGUGGCGGGAGCAAUCCUACCGCCAGAGGUUAUAACUAAACCAAACUUUUUAUUUACAGUCAAACUUGAUUUAUUAUUACAAUAGUCAAAACUUUCAACAACGGAUCUCUUGGUUCUCGCAUCGAUGAAGAACGCAGCGAAAUGCGAUACGUAAUAUGAAUUGCAGAUAUUCGUGAAUCAUCGAAUCUUUGAACGCACAUUGCGCCCUUUGGUAUUCCAAAGGGCAUGCCUGUUUGAGCGUCAUUUCUCCCUCAAACCCCCGGGUUUGGUGUUGAGCAAUACGCUAGGUUUGUUUGAAAGAAUUUACGUGGAAACUUAUUUUAAGCGACUUAGGUUUAUCCAAAACGCUUAUUUUGCUAGUGGCCACCACAAUUUAUUUCAUAACUUUGACCUCAAAUCAGGUAGGACUACCCGCUGAACUUAAGCAUAUCAAUAA
rnacentral:misc_RNA from 1 species